rnacentral:rRNA from 1 species
AUUGAACGCUGGCGGCAUGCCUUACACAUGCCAGUCGAACGGCAGCACGGGUGCUUGCACCUGGUGGCGAGUGGCGAACGGGUGAGUAAUACAUCGGAACAUGUCCUGUAGUGGGGGAUAGCCCGGCGAAAGCCGGAUUAAUACCGCAUACGAUCUACGGAUGAAAGCGGGGGCCCUUCGGGCCUCGCGCUAUAGGGUUGGCCGAUGGCUGAUUAGCUAGUUGGUGGGGUAAAGGCCUACCAAGGCGACGAUCAGUAGCUGGUCUGAGAGGACGACCAGCCACACUGGGACUGAGACACGGCCCAGACUCCUACGGGAGGCAGCAGUGGGGAAUGUUGGACAAUGGGCGAAAGCCUGAUCCAGCAAUGCCGCGUGUGUGAAGAAGGCCUUCGGGUUGUAAAGCACUUUUGUCCGGAAAGAAAUCCUUGGCUCUAAUACAGUCGGGGGAUGACGGUACCGGAAGAAUAAGCACCGGCUAACUACGUG